GAGCUCACUUUGGCAGUACACAUACUAAAAUUGGAACAAUACAGAAAAGGUUAGCAUGGUCCUUGUGCAAGGAUAACACACAAAUUUGUAAAGUGUUCCAUAUUUAA
rnacentral:snRNA from 1 species